AAGAUUCAGAAGCUUACUUUAAUGGAUAAAGAGGUAAUUAAAUUUUAAUAUAUUUUUUUUAUCUCCAAAUAAUUUAUAUUUAACAUAAUUUUGUUUUUUUUUUAUUUUUCAGGGUUCAAAAAUAUAUGCCAUCAUGUUCAAUUAAAUAAUUGACAAAUUUUAUAACAUGCUACAGAUUGGAAAGACUUAUAUAUUUUCAAAUGGGCAAAUCAAAGCUAUAAAUAAAGAUUUCUAUAAUGUCAAUGAAAAUUUUGAGAUAAUUUUAAACAGCAUAUCAGAAAUACAAGUUGCAAUCACCGAUGAUAUAGAACCAGUCACAAAUAAUUUAUCAGUAAUUGAAGAUAUCAAGUCAAAUCCAAAUUCUCCGUCAGAUAUCAUUUUAUUAUUUCUGAACGUUUCUGAAGUGCGAGUGAUCUACAGACAAACUGAUAAAA